CGGUAACUGCUCAAAUUUGAAAGCUGCCACCAGGCCGCAUUGUAAUUUGUAGAAGAUGCUUUGGGUGUCGGCCCAGUCUAAGUUCCUUGGAACAGGACGUCAUAGAGGGUGAGAAUCCCGUACGUGAUUGGUGCCGUUCCCCGUGUAAAGCUCUUUCGAC
rnacentral:rRNA from 1 species